rnacentral:rRNA from 1 species
UAGGGAAUUUUCCGCAAUGGGCGAAAGCCUGACGGAGCAAUACCGCGUGAGGGAUGACGGCCUAUGGGUUGUAAACCUCUUUUUUCAGGGAGGAAUCAAUGACGUGUACCUGAAGAAUAAGCAUCGGCUAACUCCGUGCCAGCAGCCGCGGUAAGACGGAGGAUGCAAGUGUUAUCCGGAAUCACUGGGCGUAAAGCGUCUGUAGGUGGUCAAAUAAGUCAACUGUUAAAUCUUGAGGCUCAACCUCAAAACCGCAGUCGAAACUAUUAGACUAGAGUAUAGUAGGGGUAAAGGGAAUUUCCAGUGGAGCGGUGAAAUGCGUAGAGAUUGGAAGGAACACCGAUGGCGAAGGCACUUUACUGGGCUAUUACUAACACUCAGAGACGAAAGCUAGGGUAGCAAAUGGGAUUAGAUACCCCCGUAGUCC